rnacentral:rRNA from 1 species
UACGUAGGGGCGCAAGCGUUGUCCGGAAUUAUUGGGCGUAAAGAGCUCGUAGGCGGCCUGUUGCGUCCGCUGUGAAAUCCCGGGGCUCAACCCCGGGCCUGCAGUGGAUACGGGCUGGCUAGAGCAGGCAGGGGAGAACGGAAUUCCUGGUGUAGCGGUUGGAAAUGCGCAGAUAUCAGGAGGAACACCGGUGGCGAAGGCGGUUCUCUGGGCCUGUACUGACGCUGGAGGAGCGAAAGCGUGGGGAGCAAACAGG